AGAUUCAGGGAGAAACCUGCAGACACACCAUGCCCCCACGGCCUGCCUGGGAGUGAACUCCCGUGGUGGCAUCUUCUCUUCCCCCGUGUGGAGCUGCCUUCUGAGACGCAUGGCGAAUGACGGACCUCAACCUCCAGGGCUGUUGUUCAGAUGCCGCCGGGCACUGGGCCCUGGCCACAUCCCAGACAGCUGUAUCAGGAAGUCACCCCCCUCCCCUCAUCCACAGGGGAUGAAACCAGAGCACAGAGAUACCAGGUGAGUUUGCCCAAAACCACCCCAGCGCCCUGGCCCUCAGAGCCAAGUUCCCUGCAUGAAGUUAGAUCUGAGAGCAGGAAGAUCACCAGUGACAGACUCUUGCUCAGGACAUUUGACGUGGCCAGAACCUAAGCCUAACACCCUCCCCGCUGGUCCUGAGCAGGGUGGGCAGGACACGGCCGCAUGGGAGGGCAGCUGUUGUCAGGGAACAGGCGCACCACACAGGCCAGGCAGCUGCCAGGGUGGAAUGGGGCUCCACGUCUGCUCAACCAGUCAGUGUUGCGGGUCUGCAGAGUUCCCCACACAAAAUCACGCCUGCUGAUGAGACACAGACUCCCGAGCACCUUUAUCCAUUCAGCGGAAGCAUGGUAUCUGCCUCAGUUUCCUUAUUUAUAAGCUAGAACUCGCAUGCCUGCCUUUUGGGGUUGUUUAGAAACUGAAACAAGAACAUAGACCAGACAGCAAGGGGUUCCUUACCUCACCUGGACAGACCUUGUCUUCCUUCCAUGCCUUAGAAGAGCUGCAAGCAACCCCUGGCAGAAGAGGCGAUGGCAUGGAACUGAGGCUCAGGGCAGCGCUGGAGGAAGCACUUGUGCCCUGUUUUGUGGAGUAUGGUGCACAGGGGGCCAGACUUGUGGGAGGUCACUCCCCAACCCCGGGAUGAAACCUGUCCAGGGCACUUGGAAGCCCUCCAUGCCCAUCUCAUGAGGAGGGCAUGGAACUGAGACCAGGCUUUGGCAGCCACCUUCACACCAGCCUGUGCUCACAUCACCCCCAGCCCGUGGCGAUGCUGCUGGGGCUCAGCCAGCUCCCCGCACUGCUGGAGUGGAAGAGGAAAGGAGACCCCAGCCCAGCCAGCAUUGUGGCAGCCUCAAGCCUCAGCCUGGACAACAUGCUGGCAUCUGCCUCCAAAUCUGCAGUCCCUGAAGCCAGCGGUGUGUGUCCCAGGGUCAAGCCACCUGCUGGAGAAAAGUUAAACCUAAGGAAGAAACACAGGUCCCUGGGAUUUAAGCCAAUGAAUUUAUUUUUUGCAAUGAAUCAAAUUUUUUUAUCAUUAAAAAAUGUGAUAAAC
rnacentral:lncRNA from 1 species